rnacentral:rRNA from 1 species
UUGCUAACGCAACCUGAG